rnacentral:rRNA from 1 species
GUAGGUGGCAAGCGUUGUCCGGAAUUAUUGGGCGUAAAGCGCGCGCAGGCGGUUCUUUAAGUCUGAUGUGAAAGCCCACGGGCUCAACCGUGGAGGGUCAUUGGAAACUGGAGAACUUGAGUACAGAAGAGGAAAGCGGAAUUCCACGUGUAGCGGUGAAAUGCGUAGAGAUGUGGAGGAACACCAGUGGCGAAGGCGGCUUUCUGGUCUGUAACUGACGCUGAGGCGCAAAAGCGUGGGGAGCAAACAGGAUUAGAUACCCUGGUAGUCCACGCCGUAAACGAUGAGUGCUAAGUGUUAGGGGGUUUCCGCCCCUUAGUGCUGCAGCUAACGCAUUAAGCACUCCGCCUGGGGAGUACGGCCGCAAGGCUG